rnacentral:rRNA from 1 species
UACGUAGGGUGCAAGCGUUAAUCGGAAUUACUGGGCGGAAAGCGUGCGCAGGCGGUUGUGCAAGACCGAUGGGAAAUCCCCGGGCUCAACCUGGGAAUGGCAUUGGUGACUGCACGGCUAGAGUGUGUCAGAGGGGGGUAGAAUUCCACGUGUAGCAGUGAAAUGCGUAGAGAUGUGGAGGAAUACCGAUGGCGAAGGCAGCCCCCUGGGAUAACACUGACGCUCAUGCACGAAAGCGUGGGGAGCAAACAGG